rnacentral:rRNA from 1 species
GCUGGCGGCGUGCUUAACACAUGCAAGUCGAACGAUGAAGAGCAGCUUGCUGCUUGGAUUAGUGGCGCACGGGUGAGUAAUAUAUAGGUAAUGUGCCUCUUAGUCUGGGAUAGCCAUUGGAAACGAUGAUUAAUACUGGAUACUCCUUCUAACUCUAAUGUUAGUCGGGAAAGUUUUUCGCUAAGAGAUCAGCCUAUAUCCCAUCAGUUAGUUGGUAAGGUAACGGCUUACCAAGGCAAUGACGGGUAGCGGGUUUGAGAGGAUGAUCCGCCACACUGGUACUGAGACACGGACCAGACUCCUACGGGAGGCAGCAGUGAGGAAUAUUGCACAAUGGGGGAAACCCUGAUGCAGCAACGCCGCGUGGAGGAUGACGCAUUUCGGUGUGUAAACUCCUUUUAUAUGUCAAGAAAAUGACGGUAGCAUAUGAAUAAGCACCGGCUAACUCCGUGCCAGCAGCCGCGGUAAUACGGAGGGUGCAAGCGUUACUCGGAAUCACUGGGCGUAAAGGACGCGUAGGCGGAUUGGAAAGUCAGAUGUGAAAUCCUACAGCUUAACUGUAGAACUGCAUUUGAAACUUCUAAUCUAGAGUAUGGGAGGGGGAGAUGGAAUUAGUGGUGUAGGGGUAAAAUCCGUAGAUAUCACUAGGAAUACCGAAAGCGAAGGCGAUCUCCUGGAACAUUACUGACGCUAAGGCGUGAAAGCGUGGGGAGCAAACAGGAUUAGAUACCCUGGUAGUCCACGCCCUAAACGAUGAACACUAGUCGUCGGGAUGCUUGUCAUCUCGGUGAUGCACUUAACAGAUUAAGUGUUCCGCCUGGGGAGUACGGUCGC